AACUUCCGCUGCUUUCAAGGUCUAAUUUACGGAUUCACUUAAAUGAGCAGAACAUUGAGAAAGACACACCAAUGCAUACAGGAUGUGUAUAGUUUAGGGUUUGGAGGGGGUCUCUCCUGGCAAGAGAGACCAAACCUUAUAAUUAAGUAACUCUCCGUUUCCUUUAAGAUAUCAACAACAACAACCACGUUCUCCCCAGUUGCCUAAACAGGACAAGUCCCCGGUUAAGCAGUUCCUGGUGGUCGCAAUUAGGGGUAAUCUUUUGUUGCCUGGAAAGUGUAAAAAUCGCCGGCUUUUCUUUUUGCAUGCAUAAUAUCCAUUUCCCCUCCAAGUGCGUUAUUUGGUUUGGGAAUUACAUCUAUUUACAAGAGUAGAUGUUGCACAAAGGUUGUGUUUAUGUGGAAAAUUAUAUCGGUGACACGGGCUGAUUGGCAUGUGGAGGCUGGGAGAGCAGGCCUUCUCAUCAGCUUGGAAUAACAAAAUGAUUGUAUUUUCAGCAAAGCUAAUUGAUCACAUACCUCGCUGGGCUAUCUGUUUACUCAAAGGCCAUCCAGGCCCUGGGAAGGUGGAGAGAAGAGAGCCCGGGGCCCGUGGUCACUGCCAGGCCGAGCCAGCCAAG
rnacentral:lncRNA from 1 species